rnacentral:rRNA from 1 species
AUGGAGAGAUAUAGGGAGCAAAAGGAGGACUUGCAUAUGGUGUUCAUUGACUUGGAGAAGGCCUAUGAUAAGAUACCACGGAAUGUCAUGUGGUGGGCCUUGGAGAAGCACAAAGUCCCAGCAAAGUACAUUACCCUCAUCAAGGACAUGUACAAUAAUGUUGUGACAAGUGUUCGAACAAGUGAUGUCGACACUGACGACUUCCCGAUUAAGAUAGGACUGCAUCUGGGGUCAGCUUUGAGCCCUUAUUCUUUUGCAUUGGUGAUGGAUGAGGUCACAAGUGAUAUACAAGGAGAUAUCCCAUGGUGUAUGCUCUUUGCGGAUGAUGUGGUGCUAGUUGACGAUAGUCGGACAGGGGUAAAUAGGAAGUUAGAGUUAUGGAGACAAACCUUGGAGUCGAAAGGGUUUAGGCUUAGUAGAACUAAAACCGAGUACAUGAUGUGCGGUUUCAUUACUACUAGGUGUGAGGAGGAGGAGGUUAGCCUUGAUGGCCAGGUGGUUCCCCAGAAGGACACCUUUCGGUAUUUGGGGUCAAUGCUGCAGGGGGAUGGGGGUAUUGAUGAAGAUGUGAACCAUUGA